rnacentral:rRNA from 1 species
UGGUCCCACCUGACCCCAUGCCGAACUCAGAUGUGAAACGCCGUAGCGCCGAUGGUAGUGUGGGGUCUCCCCAUGCGAGAGUAGGGAACUGCCAGGC